rnacentral:rRNA from 1 species
CCUACGGGUGGCUGCAGUGAGGAAUAUUGGUCAAUGGGCGGGAGCCUGAACCAGCCAAGUCGCGUGAGGGAAGACGGUCCUACGGAUUGUAAACCUCUUUUGCCGGGGAGCAACGGGGUCCUUGCGAGGGCCCGAUGAGAGUACCCGGAGAAAAAGCAUCGGCUAACUCCGUGCCAGCAGCCGCGGUAAUACGGAGGAUGCGAGCGUUAUCCGGAUUUAUUGGGUUUAAAGGGAGCGUAGGUGGAUUGUUAAGUCAGUUGUGAAAGUUUGCGGCUCAACCGUAAAAUUGCAGUUGAAACUGGCAGUCUUGAGUACAGUAGAGGUGGGCGGAAUUCGUGGUGUAGCGGUGAAAUGCUUAGAUAUCACGAAGAACUCCGAUUGCGAAGGCAGCUCACUGGACUGCAACUGACACUGAGGCUCGAAAGUGUGGGUAUCAAACAGGAUUAGAUACCCCGGUAGUC